UUCUAGCCCUUAUGAAAACGGCAUCCUUUUGUGGCGGGGUUCUCCAUAAAAGAUACAGUGUACAGCAGGAAUAGCU
rnacentral:sRNA from 1 species